CAGCUUGUGGUUCCAUCUGUGUACGGGAACCAGGGCCAUGUGGUGGUGGGGUACGGUAAACAGACCCAGAGCCAUGAGGUGGUGGGGUACGGUGGUCAGACCCAGAGCCAUGAGGUGGAUGGGUACGGUGGACAGACCCAGAGCCAUGAGGUUGAGGGGUACGGUGGACAGACCCAGAGCCAUGAGGUGGAGGGGUACAGUGGACAGACCCAGAGCCAUGAGGUGGUGGGGUAUGGUGAACAGACCCAGAGCCAUAAGGUGGUUGGGUACGGUGAACAGACCCAGAGCCAUGAGGUGGUGGGGUAUGGUGAACAGACCCAGAGCCAUGAGGUGGUGGGGUAUGGUGAACAGACCCAGAGCCAUGAGGUGGUGGGGUACGGUGAACAGACCCAGAGCCAUGAGGUGGUGAAGUAUGGUGAACAGACCCUGAGCCAUGAGGUGGUGGGGUAUGGUGAACAGACCCAGAGCCAUGAGGUGGUGGGGUACGGUGGACAGACCCAGAGCCAUGAGGUGGUGGGGUACGGCGGACAGACCCAGAGCCAUGAGGUGGUGGGGUACGGUAAACAGACCCAGAGCCAUGAGGUGGUGGGGUACGGUGAACAUACCCAGAGCCACAAGGUGGUGGGGUACGGCGGACAGACCCAGAGCCAUGAGGUGGAGGGGUACGGUGGACAGACCCAGAGCCAUGAGGGGGUGGGGUAUGGUGGACAAACCCAGAGCCAUGAGGUGGUGGGGUACGGUGAACAGACCCAGAGCCAUGAGGUGGUGGGGUAUGGUGAACAGACCCAGAGCCAUGAGGUGGUGGGGUACGGUGAACAGACCCAGAGCCAUGAGGUGGUGAAGUAUGGUGAACAGACCCUGAGCCAUGAGGUGGUGGGGUAUGGUGAACAGACCCAGAGCCAUGAGGUGGUGGGGUAUGGUGAACAGACCCUGAGCCAUGAGGUGGUGGGGUAUGGUGAACAGACCCAGAGCCAUGAGGUGGUGGGGUAUGGCGCGGUGUCCUCUUACCCAGACUGUAGGCGGCCUUUGUGA
rnacentral:lncRNA from 1 species